GCCGGAAUAGCUCAGUUGGUAGAGCAGUGCAUUCGUAACGCAAAGGUCGGAGGUUCGAUCCCUCUUUCCGGCACCA
rnacentral:tRNA from 1 species